rnacentral:rRNA from 1 species
CCUACGGGUGGCUGCAGUGAGGAAUAUUGGUCAAUGGCCGGAAGGCUGAACCAGCCAUGCCGCGUGAAGGUCAGUGCCCUAUGGGCGUUAAACUUCUUUUGUGCGGGAGCAAUAAUGGUCACGUGUGGCCAGACGAGAGUACCGUACGCAUAAGCAUCGGCUAACUCCGUGCCAGCAGCCGCGGUGAUACGGGGGAUGCAAGCGUUAUCCGGAAUGAGUGGGUUUAAAGGGUGCGUAGGCUGUGGGGUAAGUCACCGGUGCAAUGUCCCCGCUCAACGGGGGGAAGUGCCAUUGAUACUGGCUUGGUGGAAUGGGGAUGCGGUGGGAGGAAUGUGUGGUGUAGCGGUGAAAUGCAGAGAUAUCACACAGAACACCGAUUGCGAAGGCAUCUCACGAAUCCGCGAUUGACGCUGAUGCACGAAAGCGUGGGUAUCAAACAGGAUUAGAUACCCGUGUAGUC